rnacentral:rRNA from 1 species
AACGAACGCUGGCGGCGCGUCUUAAGCAUGCAAGUCGAACGGUAAGAGAUGAGCUUGCUUCUCUCCUAAAGUGGCGGAAUGGUGAGGAACACGUGGGUAAUCUACCCUUUAGAUGGGGAUAGCUGCUAGAAAUAGCAGUUAAUAUCCAAUACAACAACCAUAUCACUAGGGGUGUUGUGGAAAAGAAGCUAUGGCUUCACUCGAGGAUGAUCUUGCGUUCUAUUAGCUAGUUGGUGAGGUAAAGGCCCACCAAGGCGACGAUGCGUAUCCGGCCUGAGAGGUUGACCGCACACAUGGGGACUGAGAAACGGCCCAAACUCCUACGGGAGGCAGCAGCGAAGAAUAUUCCGCAAUGGACGGAGUUCUGCCGGAGCGACGCGGCGUGGUUGAAGAAGGCUGAAGAGUGGUAAAAUCCGUUUGUUGAGGAAAAAGAAGGUUGAGAUGGAAUGCUCAUCUGAUGACGGUAACUAACGAAUAAGCCACGGCUAAUUACGUG